CCACCGUCCGAUCUUUGAUUCUUCUCCGCCCUCUUCUUGCCCAAGGGGAAAUAUCUCUUCGUCGGCUCGUCGUCAACGUGUCUCUCUCUCUCUAUCUCAGAAAUCUUCGCCGGGAAGCCAUGACAAGCUCCCCCGCGAAAGGUCUGUCUCAAUCUAGCUUUGAUUUCUGGAUUCGGGUUUUGACUGUUUGACUUUGGGAAACUUCGAAACUGCACGGGAUCUGAGUAAGAUCGUGUGCAUUCUGCUCCCGCGGGGUUCAUUCACAAGGUCCCUGGUAAUCUCCAGAGUGACCUGAAAAUUUCUAGGUUAGAGAUUGAUAAUUGAAGUUACGGAAAGCUCCGCCGACUCUGUGCACGAACGGAACAUUCCGGCUUCAGGUUGAAUUUCCUGAGCAUUAUCCCGUGGAAGCUCUACCACAACAACUGUUGUGAUUCUUAUUGUACAGAUGAGUUUGUUCCUCCGGCUCCCCUGCAUCAUCUCAUUUACCGUGAUGGACAUAUUUUUAUAGCCGAAGCAGACAAAGAAGAAAGCGACCCGAACGAAGCAAGAUAUGGGUUUGGGAAGACUUUCUGGCCUGUGGCGAGUAUAUGUCGUGG